rnacentral:lncRNA from 1 species
AGCAAGGUAAGCCCCCAAUCCCCAAAUCCAAACCCAAACUUUCUUCCCGAUUCAAAUUUUAGUACAAAUUUGGAUGAUUGAUGGAUAAGCUAGAUCUCAGUCGAUGAAGAGGAGUAAAACUCAUUAAAUCAUUCCAUCCCCACAAAUAUCUAGCUACAAGCUCUCUCGAAAUCUCUGCAUUUAAAAUCAGAUCUCGCGUGCCUCCAAACG